rnacentral:tRNA from 1 species
GCCGGUAUAGCUCAGCUGGUAGAGCAACUGACUUGUAAUCAGUAGGUCCCGGGUUCGACUCCUGGUGCCGGCAACA